AUUAACGGCAAUUCCUCACCCGCUCCCGCCGCAUGCGCGCUCCGCUUGGCCGCGGGGUUGGUCAUGUGGCUGAGGCUUGCCGCAUUACGUCAGCGGGAAGCAGUCACUGAGUGAGUGACUGGGUGAGGAGCGGAGUACAGGUGGAGUGGAGACAAAGCAGGCAGCAGAAGUACUUCAGUUUAGUAUUCUACAUGACUGAGAACCCACCACCCUAUCCUGGGCCAGGCCCAGCAGGUCCAUAUCCAGCUUAUCCACAACAAUAUGGUCCAGGUGCUAAUGCUGCAUACCCGAGUUAUCCACCUCCUCCAGGAGCGCAGCCUGUAUAUCAAGGGUAUCCACAGUAUGGAUGGCAGAAUGCACCACCUCAACCAGGGAUGGUUUACACAGAUGUCCCAAAAAAUACAGUUUACGUUGUAGAAGAACGCAGAAGGAAUGAUACUGGGGAUACAUGUUUGACAGCAUGUUGGACUGCCCUCUGCUGUUGUUGCCUUUGGGAUAUGUUGACCUAAAAUUUCUCUGCUACAUUGAAAGCCUCACUUCAAGAUCCUCUCUCUUCCUGGACCUUCAAAUCAAAGCUCGAAUACUAACUUUGUUUUUCCCAAAAGGUGCCUGUUCAAAAUUUCUUUUUGGUCAAGUAGUGACAUUUAGCUUAAUUAAAUAACUGGAUGGCAAGUUAUUGGUGUGGUCCAAUGUCUUUUGAGGGCCUUCCCAAAUAAAGAGCAACUUAAUUUAUGCAGACAUUUUUAAAUGAGCUAUAAAUUGCAAUGGAUUCCAUUUGAUACACAAUAGUUGCAAUCGAUUUUUGUUAUGUAAAAUUAGCACACAUUUCCUGUGAAACUUUACUAGAUGAGGAAUAACAUUGUACUGUUUUACUAUACAUCACUGGAACUCUAUUCCACAUUAAAGACAGCUGUUCAAUCACAACUUUUUGAAUAAAGUGAAUUUAUGCUUUAAUACAA